AGGGCCAAUGAUGAGUGUGCCAUGGGGUAUCUGAACUGGAGCUUUGAUUAAACCCAAAUGCAACUCUGAGGUCAGU
rnacentral:snoRNA from 1 species